AGGUAACUUUAUCUCAUAUUCACAUCUCAUAAUUUGGUUUAAAUCUGAUUUUUACAACAUAAUCUUAUCUUAUAUUGAUAGUUCACUAUUUGAGUUGCACGGCUUUAUUAUGUAAAAUCAAUUUUAUUAAUUAAUAUUUGUAAAUAAUAUGAAAAAGAAGUACAAGGGGACCUCCAACCAAAAAAAUAAAUAAAUAAUUGAAAAACAUGGUAAUUUCCGCGGGUAGAGGACUGGGAGCGACGAUCACUCUUCGUCCAAUAGUUUCACUUCCCUUCCUGAAGAAGCGGGUGACGUAAGAUGAACAGUGAGUGAGUGAGUCAUCACUACCCCUGGAACAAGUUGCUGGAACUGAGAGUAGUGACUAGUGAGUACUGAUGUUUCGUCUCUCGCAUUUCUCUCUAUUCGGCUGAAAUUUUUCUCACUUCCACUAGUACAGCUAGUGCUUCCUCUUCCGCGAGACAACAAUUCCUCUCUUCCAUUUCAGUUCCGGAUACUUCUUUGCUUCCUGAUUUAGGAAAAAUGACGGAUNNN
rnacentral:lncRNA from 1 species